AUUGAACGCUGGCGGCAUGCCUUACACAUGCAAGUCGAACGGUAACAGGUCUUCGGAUGCUGACGAGUGGCGAACGGGUGAGUAAUACAUCGGAACGUGCCUAGUAGUGGGGGAUAACUACUCGAAAGAGUGGCUAAUACCGCAUGAGAUCUACGGAUGAAAGCAGGGGAUCGCAAGACCUUGUGCUACUAGAGCGGCCGAUGGCAGAUUAGGUAGUUGGUGGGAGAAAAGCUUACCAAGCCGACGAUCUGUAGCUGGGCUGAGAGGACGAUCCCCCACACUGGGACUGAGACACGGCCCAGACUCCUACGGGAGGCAGCAGUGGGGAAUUUUGGACAAUGGGCGCAAGCCUGAUCCAGCAAUGCCGCGUGCAGGAUGAAGGCCUUCGGGUUGUAAACUGCUUUUGUACGGAACGAAAAGCCCUGGGUUAAUACCUUGGGGUCAUGACGGUACCGUAAGAAUAAGCACCGGCUAACUACGUGCCAGCCGCCGCCGUAAAAC
rnacentral:rRNA from 1 species